rnacentral:ncRNA from 2 species
CAGAAAAGUUACCACAGGGAUA